GCUGCUUGACCAACUGAGCCACCCAGCUUUCACUUCUAUAGGAUCUCUGGAACAGUGCUGGAUGAAGCGACUAUGAUAAUCUCUACACCCAAUGCAAGGCUCAGACUCACGACCCCCAGAUCGAGUCGCACGCUCUACCAACUGAGCCAGCCAGGUGCUGCUUAUUUCUGUUAUUUAAAAACUAGUAAUAAAGGUUGAAAAAACCCAAGUUGGGUCUGUUAGUAAAAAAAGGGGGUGCCUCCAUUUCUGUGAUCCCCCACAAUCUGCCUGGCCCUCUCCACCCUCCCUUUGCUCCCCAGUCCCAGGGCUUACA